AAAGAUUAAGCCAUGCAUGUCUAAGUAUAAACAACUUUAUACUGUAAAACUGCGAACGGCUCAUUAUAUCAGCAAUAAUUUAUUUGAUGGUUUCUUACUACAUGGAUAACUGUAGUAAUUCUAGAGCUAAUACAUGCGUAAAGUCCCAACUCUUGCGGGGAGGGAUGUAUUUAUUAGAUAAAAAACCAAUGCGGGUUCUGCUCGCCUUUGUGUUGAAUCAUAGUAACUUUUCGAACGCCAUAGCCUUGUGCUGGGCGUAGAUCAUUCAAAUUUCUGCCCUAUCAGCUUUCGACGGUAGUGUAGUGGACUACCGUGGCGUUAACGGG
rnacentral:rRNA from 1 species